GAUGAACGCUGGCGGCGUGCCUAACACAUGCAAGUCGAGCGAUCUUCUUCGGAAGAGAGCGGCGGACGGGUGAGUAACGCGUGGGUAACCUGCCCUGUACACACGGAUAACAUAACGAAAGGUAUGCUAAUACGAGAUAAUAUUCUUUUAUCGUACGGUAGAAGUAUCAAAGCUCCGGCGGUACAGGAUGGACCCGCGUCUGAUUAGCUAGUUGGUAAGGUAACGGCUUACCAAGGCGACGAUCAGUAGCCGACCUGAGAGGGUGAUCGGCUACAUUGGUACUGAGACACGGUCCAAACUCCUACGGGAGGCAGCAGUGGGGAAUAUUGCACAAUGGGCGAAAGCCUGAUGCAGCAACGCCGCGUGAGCGAUGAAGGCCUUCGGGUCGUAAAGCUCUGUCCUCAAGGAAGAUAAUGACGGUACUUGAGGAGGAAGCCCCGGCUAACUAUGUGCCAGCCGCCGCGGUAA
rnacentral:rRNA from 1 species